GUACGCAUCGAGAGAGGGGAUUCCAUUACGUGAGUUGUUGGUAAUUCUUCAACCAGAUAGUACAUUGCACCGCGAUAACGGUGUCGAGGAGUUGUCUCCUACGAACACUAACAGCACACCUCUAUUUUUGGACACCGUUAUGCUUGCACAGAUGCAGCGCACAACACGCCACGUGCCGUGUCGGUCCACAUUCUAUCUCUAAUGUACAUACGUGUUCAUAUUUAGAUCUUUUUAUUAACGAAAAGAAAGCAUUUUCCUGCAUGUCAAGUACAGAUGAUCAUACCUAAACUUUCACGGCGUUUCUUUUCAAUGAUUGACAACACUACAUUUUCUUCUUAAUAAUUGUUUAGUAAUUCUUGCGACACUUUAUAAGUACUACACUUGGUCAGUGGUGUAAAGAAAAUACUCAGCUCGUCGAAAAAUCGCAUCACUUGAAACUAAAAAUCAUGAAAAUUGGAAACUAACGUAAAGUUUGGAAUAACGUAAAAAGGAUUGUGAUUCAAAUCUGCUUUCAAAAAAAUACACGUAACGAGAUAUGGUCAUAGCCUCUUUUCAUUAUGCUAAACAGUACAUUGUAGUCAUCAGAUAUGCACAAUUUUGAUGUUAGAUAUUUCAGAUAGGAUUGUUGGAUAGAAUAGAUUUCUUUUAAACGAGCAAGAUAAAACUUUAACAUUUCAAUCAGCGCCAUGCUAAUCAGCGGUAACUUAAAUUGGCCUAUCGUAAACCACGUAAUGUCGCAUUUCAAAAGGCACGACUUUGCGACGACAACCUCUUUUCUGUUUCCCUCUAAACCUUACGACCAUACCAGAGGAUGAUUCAAGACCGAGGCACCAGGUAAUAGUACAAUAUUCCCCAUGAUUACCGACACAGUGUUACAUUUCCUUCGCAAUAAUUAUUGUGACAUUUCGUAGGAACUAUACCAUGACAGAUUCUAUUCAGCCAAGGCUAGUGGCACAGUCAAAACAAAGUUCAUCACCGUUUCAAUCAACGGCAUGUUCAUCAGCGGACAGACGGGUAUAAUCAUAAAACACGUAACGUAGCAUUCCAAAGGACACAACCCUGCGACGAUUAUUCCUCUUCCUUUUCUCUGGAGACUUUACGACCAGCCCAGGUGAUUCCAGCAGAGGAUGAUCCAAGAAGGGCACCACCGUCGGGGCAAUUUUGGCACGAUCACAGGCAACCGGUGGAAGUACCGUUUUGCACAUAAAUAAAGUGCCUCGGCACGGCAUUCGACAUUCUUGGGCAUCGUGCUCGGCGGGAAUAGGACAGGCAAUAGAACCGACGUUGGAUAGGCGCUAGGACUGGCGCUGGAUGGGCAAUGGAACCGGCAUGGGAUAGGCAGUAUAAUGGAGGAAUUGUCUGAAACAUCGAUUCAUAACAUUGGCUCUGACAACAAAGAGAACGAUGGUCAUAAAACGAGUGUCGGAUCAUAAACCAGAAAAUGCCGCUCCCCACAUCGUUGGCGGAUCCUUUAUUAAAAAGGACAUGCAUCAACUUUACGGAUAAUACUUCCUGCGUACAAAAGUAUCAACUUAACUUGAAUCCCCCGAAACGAGAGUCGAGUACGUACGCCGAUUCAUAACAUUGGCUCCGACAAGAAAGGGAACGAUCGUCAUAAGACGACUAUCGCCGACAUUUCAGAUCAUAAAAUGGAAGAUGCCGCACCCAGCGUCGUUCACGGAUUGCGGUAAACAUGGCAUACAUAUGCAUGUCGAAGAGUUUCAUGGGUCGCAUAUAUAGCGGCGGUGAUAUUAAGCGGUACUCACGGUUUUCCGGCAUGAAGGUUGCUGGAAAACGGACAGUGCGGGGAUUCCGGAGCGGAACGAAUAGUCGGAGUUCCCGGA